AAUCAACGCUGGCGGCGUGCCUAACACAUGCAAGUCGAACGCGAAAGUCCCGCAAGGGAUCAGUAGAGUGGCAAACGGGUGAGUAACGCGUGGGUGACCUGCCUUCGAGCGGGGGAUAACGUCCCGAAAGGGACGCUAAUACCGCAUAACAUCCUGCUUUUUAACAGGCGGAGAUCAAAGCUGGGGAUCGCAAGACCUAGCACUCGACGAGGGGCCCGCGUCUGAUUAGCUAGNGGUGAGGUAACGGCUCACCAAGGCGACGAUCAGUAUCCGGCCUGAGAGGGCGGACGGACACACUGGGACUGAGACACGGCCCAGACUCCUACGGGAGGCAGCAGUGGGGAAUUGUUCGCAAAUGGGCGCAAGCCUGACG
rnacentral:rRNA from 1 species